UAAUACAUGCAAGUCGAGCGGACAGAAGGGAGCUUGCUCCCGGAUGUUAGCGGCGGACGGGUGAGUAACACGUGGGUAACCUGCCUGUAAGACUGGGAUAACUCCGGGAAACCGGAGCUAAUACCGGUAGUUCCUUGAACCGCAUGGUUCAAGGAUGAAAGACGGUUUCGGCUGUCACUUACAGAUGGACCCGCGGCGCAUUAGCUAGUUGGUGGGGUAAUGGCUCACCAAGGCGACGAUGCGUAGCCGACCUGAGAGGUGAUCGGCCACACUGGGACUGAGACACGGCCCAGACUCCUACGGGAGGCAGCAGUAGGGAAUCUUCCGCAAUGGACGAAAGUCUGACGGAGCAACGCCGCGUGAGUGAUGAAGGUUUUCGGAUCGUAAGCUCUGUUGUUAGGGAAGAACAAGUGCGAGAGUAACUGCUCGCACCUGACGGUACCUAACCAGAAAGCCACGGCUAACUACGUGCCAGCAGCCGCGGUAAUACGUAGGUGGCAAGCGUUGUCCGGAUUAUUGGGCGUAAAGGGCUCGCAGGCGGUUUCUUAAGUCUGAUGUGAAAGCCCCCGGCUCAACCGGGGAGGGUCAUUGGAAACUGGGAAACUUGAGUGCAGAAGAGGAGAGUGGAAUUCCACGUGUACGGUGAAAUGCGUAGAGAUGUGGAGGAACACCAGUGGCGAAGGCGACUCUCUGGUCUGUACUGACGCUGAGGAGCGAAAGCGUGGGGAGCGAACAGGAUUAGAUACCCUGGUAGUCCACGCCGUAAAGAUGAGUGCUAAGUGUUAGGGGGUUUCCGCCCCUUAGUGCUGCAGCUAACGCAUUAAGCACUCCGCCUGGGGAGUACGGUCGCAAGACUGAAACUCAAAGGAAUUGACGGGGGCCCGCACAAGCGGUGAGCAUGUGGUUUAAUUCGAAGCAACGCGAAGAACCUUACCAGGUCUUGACAUCCUCUGACAACCCUAGAGAUAGGGCUUUCCCUUCGGGGACAGAGUGACAGGUGGUGCAUGGUUGUCGUCAGCUCUGUCGUGAGAUGUUGGGUUAAGUCCCGCAACGAGCGCAACCCUUGAUCUUAGUUGCCAGCAUUCAGUUGGGCACUCUAAGGUGACUGCCGGUGACAAACCGGAGGAAGGUGGGGAUGACGUCAAAUC
rnacentral:rRNA from 1 species